GUGAGGGAUAUUGGUCAAUGGGGGAAACCCUGAACCAGCAACGCCGCGUGAGGGAAGACGGUUUUCGGAUUGUAAACCUCUGUCCUCUGUGAAGAUAAUGACGGUAGCAGAGGAGGAAGCUCCGGCUAACUACGUGCCAGCAGCCGCGGUAAUACGUAGGGAGCAAGCGUUGUCCGGAUUUACUGGGUGUAAAGGGUGCGUAGGCGGCCCUGCAAGUCAGAAGUGAAAUCCAUGGGCUUAACCCGUGAACCGCUUUUGAAACUGUAGGGCUUGAGUGAAGUAGAGGCAGGCGGAAUUCCCGGUGUAGCGGUGAAAUGCGUAGAGAUCGGGAGGAACACCAGUGGCGAAGGCGGCCUGCUGGGCUUUAACUGACGCUGAAGCACGAAAGCGUGGGUAGCAAACAGGA
rnacentral:rRNA from 1 species